GCCUACGGGGCGCAGCAGUGGGGAAUCUUGCACAAUGGGGGCAACCCUGAUGCAGCGACGCCGCGUGAGCGAUGAAGCCCUUCGGGGUGUAAAGCUCUUUCGACGGGAACGGUAAUGACGGUACCCGGAGAAGAAGCUGCGGCUAACUACGUGCCAGCAGCCGCGGUAAUACGUAGGCAGCAAGCGUUGUUCGGAGUUACUGGGCGUAAAGAGUGCGUAGGCGGUCCUGUAAGUUUGGUGUGAAAUCUCCCGGCUCAACUGGGAGGGUGCGCCGAAGACUGCAGGGCUUGAGUAUGGGAGAGGUAAGCGGAAUUCCUGGUGUAGCGGUGAAAUGCGUAGAUAUCAGGAGGAACACCUGUGGUGUAGACAGCUUACUGGACCAUAACUGACGCUGAGGCACGAAAGCGUGGGUAGCAAACAGGAUUAGAUACCCUGGU
rnacentral:rRNA from 1 species